rnacentral:rRNA from 1 species
AUACGGAGGGUGCAAGCGUUAAUCGGAAUUACUGGGCGUAAAGCGUGCGCAGGCGGUUUGUUAAGUCAGAUGUGAAAGCCCCGGGCUCAACCUGGGAACUGCAUUUGAAACUGGCAAACUAGAGUGUGGUAGAGGGAAGUGGAAUUCCUCAUGUAGCGGUGAAAUGCGUAGAUAUGAGGAGGAACACCAGUGGCGAAGGCGACUUCCUGGACCAACACUGACGCUCAUGUACGAAAGCGUGGGUAGCAAACAGGAUUAGAAACCCGAGUAGUCC